rnacentral:pre_miRNA from 1 species
UAGAUACUCCCUCCGUCCGAAAAUACUUGUCAUCAAAAUGAAUAAAAGGGAAUGUAUCUAGACAUAUUUUAGUUUUAGAUACAUCCUUUUUUGUCCAUUUUGAUGACAAGUAUUUUCGGAUGGAGGGAGUACUGU